AUCUACGGAUUGCGUCAUGUUUGUAUACGUAAGUUCUAAAUUAAAAUUCACUUGCUGUAUGAAAUUGGCGACGAUCGUGCGC